AUUGAACGCUGGCGGCAGGCCUAACACAUGCAAGUCGAACGGUAACAGGAAACAGCUUGCUGUUUCGCUGACGAGUGGCGGACGGGUGAGUAAUGUCUGGGAAACUGCCUGAUGGAGGGGGAUAACUACUGGAAACGGUAGCUAAUACCGCAUAACGUCGCAAGACCAAAGAGGGGGACCCUCGGGCCUCUUGCCUUCGGAUGUGCCCAGAUGGGAUUAGCUUGUUGGUGGGGUAACGGCUCACCAAGGCGACGAUCCCUAGCUGGUCUGAGAGGAUGACCAGCCACACUGGAACUGAGACACGGUCCAGACUCCUACGGGAGGCAGCAGUGGGGAAUAUUGCACAAUGGGCGCAAGCCUGAUGCAGCCAUGCCGCGUGUAUGAAGAAGGCCUUCGGGUUGUAAAGUACUUUCAGCGGGGAGGAAGGGAGUAAAGUUAAUACCUUUGCUCAUUGACGUUACCCGCAGAAGAAGCACCGGCUAACUCCGUG
rnacentral:rRNA from 1 species